rnacentral:rRNA from 1 species
CCUACGGGUGGCAGCAGUGAGGAAUAUUGGUCAAUGGCCGGAAGGCUGAACCAGCCAAGCCGCGUGAGGGAUGAAUGCGCAGAGCGUCGCAGACCUCUUUUGUCAGGGGAUAAAAUGCCGGACUCGUCCCUUCCUGAGGGUACCCGGUGAAAAAGCAUCGGCUAACUCCGUGCCAGCAGCCGCGGUAAUACGGAGGAUGCGAGCGUUAUCCGGAUUCAUUGGGUUUAAAGGGUGCGCGGGCGGGCCUUUAAGCCGGCGGGGAAAUGGCGGGGCGAAACCCAGCAGAGCCGUCGGAACUGGGGGCCUUGAGUGCGGCGGAGGCAUGCGGAAUUCGUGGUGUAGCGGUGAAAUGCAGAGAUAUCGCGCAGAACCCCGAGUGCGAAGGCAGCGUGCCGUGCCGCCACUGACGCUGAGGCACGAAAGCGCGGGGAUCGAACAGGAUUAGAUACCCUAGUAGUC